rnacentral:SRP_RNA from 10 species
UUGAAGGGUUGGAAGAAACCUUUAGAAGAGCUGGUCAUUAUGCCAACCGGGUGUCUGCAAUAAACUCGGCAUGAAUAUGGUGACCUACUGGGAGCAGGGGGCCACCGGGUUACCUAAGGAUGAGUGAACUGGCCCAGAUCAGAAAGGGAGCAGUUCAGAACUCCCACACCGACCGGUAGUGGGACUGUGCCUGGGCAAUAUAGCAAGAUCUU